rnacentral:rRNA from 1 species
GAUGAACGCUAGCGGCAGGCUUAAUACAUGCAAGUCGAGGGGCAGCGCCGUGUAGCAAUACAUGGGCGGCGACCGGCAAACGGGUGCGGAACACGUACACAACCUUCCUACAAGUGGGGAAUAGCCCAGAGAAAUUUGGAUUAAUACCCCGUAACAUAGCGAUGUGGCAUCACAUUGCUAUUAUAGCUUCGGCGCUUGUUGAUGGGUGUGCGGCUGAUUAGAUAGUUGGCGGGGUAACGGCCCACCAAGUCUACGAUCAGUAGCUGAUGUGAGAGCAUGAUCAGCCACACGGGCACUGAGACACGGGCCCGACUCCUACGGGAGGCAGCAGUAAGGAAUAUUGGACAAUGGACGCAAGUCUGAUCCAGCCAUGCCGCGUGAAGGAUUAAGGUCCUCUGGAUUGUAAACUUCUUUUAUAAGGGACGAAAAAAGGUCUUUCUAGAUCGUCUGACGGUACCUUAUGAAUAAGCACCGGCUAACUCCGUGCCAGCCGCCG